UACGUAGGGCGCAAGCGUUAUCCGGAAUUAUUGGGCGUAAAGAGCUCGUAGGCGGUUUGUCGCGUCUGCCGUGAAAGUCCGGGGCUCAACUCCGGAUCUGCGGUGGGUACGGGCAGACUAGAGUGCGGUAGGGGAGAUUGGAAUUCCUGGUGUAGCGGUGGAAUGCGCAGAUAUCAGGAGGAACACCAGCGGCGAAGGCGGCGCUCUGGGCCGGUACUGACGCUGAGGAGCGAAAGCGUGGGGAGCGAACAGG
rnacentral:rRNA from 1 species